UACAGAGGGUGCGAGCGUUAAUCGGAAUUACUGGGCGUAAAGCGUGCGUAGACGGUGGCGUAAGUCGGGUGUGAAAGCCCCGGGCUCAACCUGGGAAUGGCAGUGGAUACUGGAAAGCUAGAGUGCGGUAGAGGGUAGUGGAAUUCCCGGUGUAGCAGUGAAAUGCGUAGAGAUCGGGAGGAACACCAGUGGCGAAGGCGGCUACCUGGACCAGCACUGACACUGAGGCACGAAAGCGUGGGGAGCAAACAGG
rnacentral:rRNA from 1 species